GCCAGCUCGGCGGUCGGCCUCCUGUCACUGCAGGCACCAGCCAUGGUUCUGUUCCGUGGUUUGUAAGUUGGCAACCCACGUCCCCGCGGUGACUGUGGUCCUGAUGGCUGCGGCGGCGGCCCUGGCAGCUGCCGAAACCCCUCCCGCCAUGCCGCAGGCGGCAGGGGCCGGAGGGCCUACAGCCCGUCGCGACUUCUACUGGCUGCGCUCCUUCUUGGCGGGAGGUGAGUGUCGGCCCCGAAGUCUUCUGGCUGCUUUCCUCCAGCUAAAAUCGCUGGCAGAUCGGGUGCUAGCGGCCUCUAUGAUAUUCCCUACUCUGUUUCAGUACCCUGCCCGAUGUUUACCCAUACCUGCCUGUAAUCUCAUUCUAAUAAUCCUUGACUUGUGCCAGCCAUGUUCAAGGGAGUGGGACCUUGGGCUCUUGGGAAGAGGCUGGAGAAGUGGAAGGACUGAGUCAAGCUGAUAUUAUCCAGAGUUGGGUAGCCAGGAAAAGAGGGAGAUCCUUUACAGGAAACAUGCUGGGCACUCCUUUCUUUUGAAAAGACUGGGUAACUGAGUGUGCAAUUAGGUUUUGCUGUUUGCUUAAAGGAAAAUAAAUAUUGGAGGUCAGCUUUUUAAAGAUGACUGAGAAAUUGUGUAAAAUUAGCAAACUGUGUCAAAACUACUUGACAAGCCCUACUAUUGAUCUGACCACGAGACCAGAACAUUCACAUUGUCUCAAAGAAAUUUCCUCUGCCUUAUCAUAAAGAAGUGUUUUAAUCUCUUCCCUCAUGGUGUAAUUGCUUGUCUGGGUUAUCAUCACUUAGUUAUUUGACAGAGAAUUUUAAAAUUCCACAUUAUGAAGACUUGUUGAAAUAUAUUAUCUGUAUUCUGCAGCAGUGACAACAAUUAGUUUGUCCUCCUGAUAAAAAGGGCAUUCAUUUAUUCAUACUGGGAAUAUUUGAGUGCCAGGUAUGUGCCUACUUUUUGCUUAGAAUACAUCAAAGAACACAAGAAAGGGGCUGGGGUUGUGACUCAGCGGUAGAAAGCUCCCCUAGCGCAUGUGAGGCCCUGGGUUUCUCCUCAGCAUUACAUAAAAAUAAAAGAAGGUAUUGUGUCCAACGACAACUAAAAAAUAAAUAUUUUAAAAAAGGGAGGGGAGGGGAGGGGAGGGGGGAUAGUAGAGGAUAGGAAAGGCAGCAGAAUACAACAGACACUAGUAUGGCAAUAUGUAAAUUAAUGGAUGUGUAACUGAUGUGAUUCUGCAAUCUGUAUAUGGGGUAAAAAUGGGAGCUCAUAACCCACUUGAAUCAAAUUGUGAAAUAUCAUAUAUCAAGAACUAUGUAAUGUUUUGAACAGCCAACAAUAAAAAAUUAAAAAAAAAAAAAAGGAACAAAAGAAAUAUCUAUACCUUCCUGGAGUUUAUGUUGGUUAUGGAGUUGUAAGGUGAAAGAAUAAACAGAAUGAAAAUAUAGUAUGUUAGAAGGUGAUGAAUGCAAUGGGAAGAAGUAGAAAGAAGACAGGGAAGGCAGUGGAGUGGACAGUAUUAAAGAUGAUAGCUGUGGUGUCUCAUUGAGAGAUUGAAACUUGAAUCUUUUUUUUCUUUAAUUUUUUUUAAGAGAGAGAGAGAGAGGAGAGAGAGAAUUUCAAUAUUUAUUUUUCAGUUUUUGGCAGACACAACAUCUUUGUUGGUAUGUGGUGCUGAGGGUCGAACCCAGGCCGCCGCACGCAUGCCAGGCGAGCCCGCUACCGCUUGAGCCACAUCCCCAGCCCUGAAACUUGAAUCUUGAGCGAACUUUUUUUUUUUUUUUGUACUAGAUGUACUAGAUAUUGAACCCAGGAGUGCUUUACCACUGAGCUACAUCCCCACCCUUUUAAUUUUCUUAUUUUGAGACAGAAGCUUGCUAAAUUGCUGAGGCUGGCCUUGAACUUGUAUCCUUCUGCCUCAGUCUCCUGAGUCACUGGGAUUACAAAUGUGUGCAACAAUGCCUGGCAGAGAAGGCAAAGGCUUUAAAGCGAGAAAAUCUAGUCUGCUGCAAGACUUUUGGCUGAAGACAAGUGGUGUUGAUUAGGGAAGGAAGUUAGGUAAAGAGAGCAGGGAGAAGAAAAUGAAGGGAUCUUCCAAAUCAUAAAGAUUCUGAUUUUUACUCGGAGUGAAAUGGGGAAAUAUUACAGAUUUUUACGUGUAUCUAUGUGUGCUGGUGCUUGAACCCAGGGGCUCUUGAGCACUGAGCCACACCCCCAACCUUUUUUGUUUUAUUUUUAGACAGGGGAUCCCUAAGUUGCUGAGGCUGGCUUUGAAUUGCCAUCCUCCUAUCUCAGCCUCCCAGGUCACUGGGAUUACAGGUGUGGAUCACUGCACCUGGCAAUAUUACAGAUAUUGAGCACAAAAGUGUCAGGCUAUGACCUGGAUGCUCUGUUGAGAAAAACUGUAAGGUGCACCAUAGAAGCAAAGAGACCAGUUUGGGAGUUAUUGCAGUAAUUUCAAUGAUAGAUGAUAGUGGCUUGGAUCAGCAUAGUAGCUGUUAUAUAUAUAUAACAAAUAGGAUUUUCUGACUGAUUAGAGGUGAGGUGAGGGAAAGUCAAAGAUGAUUUGUUUUGGCCUGAGCAACUGCAAGGAGGUAGCUGUCAUUGACUGAAGGCUAUCAUUGGAGCAAUUUUUGUGGUGGUUUUUGGAAAGAGAUCAGAAGUUGCUUUGAACAUGUUGUAUUUUAUAAUGAGGACUGGGUGUUGAACUAAAUUCUUGGGACAUGUAGAUUAGAAUAGCAAGCAGGAAUCAUGUACUGCUGGUAGUACUAUAGAUUGGUAAAACCACUCUGAAGCACUGGUUAAGCAGUUAUUUAUGAAGCUGAAUAUUUGCAUGCUAUAUAUCUAAUGGUUCCUAAGCAUAUACCAAUAUAUAGACUGUAUUUUUGUUUGUAGUUGCCAUAUUCAUAAUAGCCCAAAACUAGAAGCAACCCCAAUUUCUGUCAAAGUUAGGACAUGUAACUAAAAUAUGGUAUACUAAUAAAUGUGUCACUGAAAAUUAAUGAAUUACCGCCACACUUAACAAUAUGGAAGAAUCUCACAAACAUAAUAUUGAACAGUAGAAGCCAGACAGUAGACAAUGCAUAUACUGUGUCAUUUUGUUUGUAUAAAGGUCAAAUAUGAUCAAAAUUAAAUCUAUGUUGUUAAAAUCAGAAGAGUAGUUGAUUAUCUCUGAGGAGGGACAGAUAGUAUUUUGGGGAGCAUUGGAAAAAGACUUUUGGGGGCUUAGUAGUAUCCCAUUUCUUUUUUUUUUUUUGUGUGUGUGUGUGUGUAUGUGUUAUUUUUUAUUUUAUUUAUUUUUUUACGUGGUCCUGAAGAUCGAACCCAGUGCCUCACAUGUGCUAGGCAAGCACUCUGCCACUAAGCUAUAACCCCAGCCCAAGUAUCCUAUUUCUUGAUCUUAACAUGAUUUCAUUCACUUUGCACUAAUUUGUUAGGUGGCAAGCUUAUGAUUUUUGUACUUUUAUGUUUGUAUCUUAUACUUUACUACAGAACAAUUUAAUGAAAGAGGAAAGAUUGGAAAUAGCAAGUAUAGGAAAUACUACAAAGGAAUCUUGAUUAAGCCAGAUGGUUUUUAAGCCAGAUGGUUUUUAGAAGUUUCUAUAGUAUUUUAUUUUAUUUUUUGAACCCAGGGUACUGAACCACUGUGCUACAUCCCUAGUCAUUUUAUUUUAUUUUAUUUGAGAGAGGGGGGAGAGAGAGAGAGAGAGAGAGAGAGAGAGAGAGAGAGAGAGAGAGAGAGAGAGAAUUUUUUUUAAUAUUUAUUUUUUAGUUUUCGGCGGACACAACAUCUUUGUAUGUGGUGCUGAGGAUUGAACCGGGGCCGCACGCAUGCCAGGCGAGCACCCUACCGCUUGAGCCACAUUCCCAGCCCUUAUUUUUUAUUUUGAAACAGGGUCUCAAUAAGUUUCCCAGGUUGGCCUUGAAUUUGUGAUCUUCCUGCCUCAGCCUCCUGAGUUUCUGUGAUUAUAGGCAUGUGCCACCAUGUCUGAUUCCAUAGGAUUUUUGCCUUUUUUUUAAAGUAGGCUUACUGAAGUAUACUUUAUAUACAGUAAAAUUCACUCUUUUGAGGUACAUAGUUAAAUUCAUCUUGCCAAAAAUGUAUAAAGUCCACCACAGUCAAGAUAUAGAAUAGUUUCAUCACCCCAAAAUAGUUCCACUUCCCUUGUGUCAUUCUCCUCCUGUCAUCCUCUGCUCCUGACAAGCACAGAGCUAUUUUCUGAGGCAAAAGGAUUGAAACUCUAAGGCCAGCCUGGGCAAUUAAGGGAGAGCUUGUCUCAAAAAAAAAAAAUUGGGGGUUAGGGAUAUAACUUGGAGGUAGACCAUUGUUUAGCAUGCAUGAAGCCCUGGUUCAAUCUUCAGUACCACCUAAAUGGAAUAUCUGGCUUUCUUCGCUUAGCAAAAUGUUUUGAAAAUUUACCCAUGUUGUAUGUAUCAGAAGUUUGUUCCUUUUUUUUUUUUUUUCCUUCUCUCUCACUGCUGUGGAUCAAAUCCAGGGCCUCACAUGCUAGGCAAGAACUCUACCACUGAGUUAUACUUCUAGCCCUUGUUUUCCUCAUAUCUGUCUAUAAUGGGGAUCAAACCCUGGGUACUUUACUACUAAGCAAUAUCCCCAGCCAUUUGGAAUUUUAAAACAUUAAAUAUUUUUAUUUUUAUUUAUGUUUUUGUUUUUGCAGUACUGAGUAUUGAACCCGGGGAAACCAUAUCUACCACUGGCUAUAUCUCUGGCCCUUUUUAUUUUUUAUUUUAAGUAAGGUCUUGGUAAGUUUCCCAGACUGGCCUUGAACUUGCAAUCUUCUUGCCUCAGCCUCUCUAAUAGCUGGGAUUACAGGUGUGUACCACCAUGCUGCUGUUCCUUUUUUUUUUUUUUUUUAAUAGUUGUAAAUGGAUAGAAUGCCUUUAUUUUAUUUGUUUAUUUUUAUGUGGUACUAAGGACCAAACCCAGUGCCUCACACAUGCUAGGCAAAUGCUCUGCCACUACAGCCCCAGCCCCACUGCUGUUCCUUUUUACUAAUGAAUAAUAUUUUGUUGUAUGGAUAUACUAAAGUUUCUUUCUUUCUUUUUUCUUCCUUUCUUUUUUGAAAUGUUUUUUUCUUACAUAGCCCAGGCUGGUCUCAAAAAUUCCUGGGUUCAAGUGAUCCUCCCACCUCAGCCUCCCAAGUAGCUGGAACUAGACAUGUGUGCCACUGUGCGUAGCCACAUCUGUUGAUGAAAAUUUGGUUUCUUGGGGCUGGGGAUGUGGCUCAAGUGGCAGCGCGCUCGCCUGGCAUGCGCGUGGCCCGGGUUCAAUCCUCAGCACCACAUACAAACAAAGAUGUUGUGUCCGCCGAAAACUAAAAAAUAAAUAUUUUAAAAAAAAAAUUUGAUUUCUUUCUGGUUUUCCACUAUCUGACUUAAGAGACUAUGAAAAGAAGUCUUUUAUGUGAGUUUCAUCCCCUGGAUGAAAUCCUUUGGUUUCUUUAUCCUUGGGCAAAUUUCUAGGAAGAGACUCCUUGCUGUUUUUUUUUUUUUUUUUUGGGAGCUGGGGAUUGUGCAUGGGAGGCAAGGACUCUACUAACUGAGCUAUGAUCCCCAGCCCUGACUCCUUGGCUUUAAGAGUAUCAUAUAGGCUGGGGUUGUGGUUCAGUGGUAGAGUACUUGCCUUGAAUGUGUGAGGCACUGGGUUUGAUUCUCAGCACCACAUAUAAAGGCCCAUCAACAACUAAAAUAAUUAAAUAAAUAAAAUUAAAAAAAAAAGACAUCUUCCACAGUUACUUAAAAAAAAAAGAAUAUCAUGUUUAACUUUUUAAAAUAUACAUUUCACAAUUUAUAAAAAGAUGACAAUAAACAUAUUUAUAUCCUUUUACUCUUUGAUAGUAUGAAAAAUUACAAUCAUCUUCACUCAAGUUGGAAUUAAAAAAAAAAAAAAAAAGGAAGCCAGGAGUGGUGGCACAUCUCAGCUACUCAGGACCAGGAGUUUAAGGCAGCUGCUCCUUGGCCAGGCUGGCUCCAGCUAGAGACUUCUGUGCUUUUUGGCUGGUCCAGUAGAGGAAAGGGCUCCAGAAGAUUUAUGAACCUUGGGAACCAGCCCUUAACUUUAUUUUUUUAAUUUAUAAUUUUUGCAGUGCUGGGGAUUGAACUCGGUAAGUGCUCUACCAAUAAGCUACAUCCUCUUGCUUUACUUAAUUUAAUAAGAAAUUGCCAAUUCUGAACACUGUUGUGUACACUUGUAAUCACAGCAGUUCCUGAGGCUGAGACAGGAUGAUUGCAAGUUUGAGGCCAGCCUCAGCAGUUAGCAAGGCCCUAAGCAAUAUAAUGAGACCCUGCCUCAAAAAUAAAAAGGGCUAGGGAUGUAGCUCAUUGGUAAAGUACCCCUGUUUUAACUCCCAUAAAUUAUUUGUUUAUUUAUUUUUUAAACCAAUAAAUAAAUAAUAAUCCCAGUUACUUGGGAGGCUAAGACAUGAGGAUGACAAGUUCAAGGCCAAUUGUGGCAGCUUAAAGAGACCCUAUCUCAGGAAAACACACACACACACACACGUAAGGGGCUGGGGAUGUAGUUCAGUGGUAGAGUGUUCAUGAGUUCAAUCCCCAGUACCAAAAACAAAACAAAACAAAACAAAAAACCCCUGCUAAGUUAUUUCCCAAAGCAUCUGUUUCAUUUUUUUUUUUUUUCUGUUUCAUUUUUUAUCCCCACUGCCUUGUCAGUACUUGUUGGUAUUGUUAGGGUGUCUAUGUAUGUUUUUCAUUUUUACAAGUGUUUAGUGUUAUCUAAUUGUGAUUUUAAUUCUUAUUUUCUUGAAGAAAAUGAUGCUGAGCAUCUUUUCAUUUUAUUGCCCAUCUGUGUUUCUUUUGUUAAGUGCUGGUUCAAAUUUUUGGAAGGCAUGACUUUGAAGGUUAUAUAGGAGUUUCACAUCCAGGUGAUAGGAAGGAAUACUGCUGGGCAAGUUAUUUAACCUCUUGUACCUUGGUUUUCCCAUCCUCAAAAGAGAAUAUAAGUCUACCUACCUUAAAUAAUUGUUCUAAUGAUUAAACUGGAAUAGUAAAAACCUUGGCACAGUGCCCACAAUUAAAUUUCUUAGGCUGGUGCCUGGUACAAAGUAAAUACUGAGUAUUUGCUAACUAUUAUGGUUAGCAGUGCUUUGGGCAAAUCUCUUUAGUUGUUCAAUCUUCCUUUUCUUUCUUUCUUUCUUUUUUUUUUUUGGUGCUUCUACCACUGAGCUACCUCUAGUCUAGUUGCUUUCUCUUAAAAGAAAGAUAAAAGCAGCAGCUGGGCGCAGUGGUGCUUCUGUAUUCUCAGCUGCUCUGGAGGUUGAAGCAGGAGGAUAUCAAGUUCAAGGCCAGCUUUGGCCAUUUUGGGGGGGACUUUGUCUCAAAAUGAAAAUAAAAAGAGGAGGUCAGUGGUAGAGUACCCCUGGGUUCAAUUUUCAGUACUGAAAAAUAAAUAAAUAAAUAGAUAGAUAAAUGGGUGGUGGUGCUGGAAAUAUGGUAUAGCACAGUGGUAGAGUGCUUCUUAGCUUGUACAAGUUCCUAGAUUUGAUCUCUUGCACUGCAAAAUAAAGAUGAAAGCUACUUGACCUAACUCAAAUGGACUAUUGGGUUGUUGAUUAAUUAAGCUUUGAAGCAGUAUGAAAUUAAGAUACUAUUAAAGGAAACUACUUAUUGAAUACAUUCUAAAUAAUUUCAUUUGAUGGUUAAUCCAUACAUGACUGAGAAGAUAAUAAUGUAUCAUAAAAUAAUAUGAGGGCUGGGGAUGUGGCUCAAGUGGUAGCGCGCUUGCCUGGUAUGCGUGUGGCCCGGGUUCGAUCCUCAGCACCACAAACAAACAAAGAUGUUGUGUCUGCCGAAAACUGAAAAAUAAAUAUUGAAAUUCUCUCUCUCUCUCUCAAAAUAAAUAAAUAAAUAAAUAAAAUAAUAUGAAAGCAAAUAAAACCAGAUGCAAAUGACUUUUAGUUUAUCCUCAAUUUUGGAUAGCCUGCUAUUUCUAUUAGUUCAAAUAAGAAAAAAAAAACUUUUUAUAAAUAUAAACUUUUAUAUUACAGUACAAAUAUACAUUUAAUUUUUUGAUAUCUCAAAGGGUGGGCUUUAAUAUUAGUUACAUGCUGAGCUGUCAAGUACAGUGGGUAUGGACUUUAUGAUUUAAUGUGCUAGACCCUGCAUUGAUCUUUGGUGAUGCAUCAGUGAAGGAGAUCCACAAAAUUCUUGUCCUCUCGACCCUUCUGAAAUACAGAUUUUUUAAAUAUAUAUUUUUUAGUUGUAGUUGAACACAUUAUCUUUAUUCUAUUUAUUUAUUUAUAUGUGGUGCUGAGGAUUGAAACCAGGGCCUUGCACGUGCUAGGCAAGUGCUCUACCGCUGAGCCACAACCCCAGCCCCUGAAAUACAGAUUUGAUGGUGAAGAAUUUAAUGUACUCAUAAAGAAACCAAAAGCUUUUUUGCUCACCUUUUAUUUAUUUAUUUAUUUUUUAAAAGAGAAUUUUAAUUUUUUUUUUUUUUUUUUUUUUUUUUUUUUUAGUUUUUGGCAGACACAACAUCUUUGUAUGUGGUGCUGAGGAUUGAACCCCGGCCGCACGCAUGCCUGGCAAGCACGCUACCGCUUGAGCCACAUCCCCAGCCCUUUUGCCCACCUUUUAUAAUAGUAACAAUUCAUCUUAUUGAGUGCUUCUACAAUACAGGAAAGUAUUGUAGAAAAGUCUUUAUGUGAUCACUUUUGAAGCAUUCCAUGCUGAUAGUCAGUAGCAUUCUGAUCAAUGUUAAAGUCCAUGUAAGCACUUUACUCUGUUUUCAUCCACACAUAUGGCCAGUGGCACAAAGUAGGAACUAAAUACAAAGUUGCUGAAUGUAUAAAUGAAUGACUGCUUUUAUGGGUAAAAGUUGGUUGUUUUGGGGCUGGGGUUGUUGCCCGGUGGUAGAGCACUUGCCUGGCAUGUGUGAGGCCCUGGGUUUGAUCCUCAGCACCAUUUAUAAACAAAUACAUACAUAAAUAAAAUAAAGGUCCAUUGACAACUAAAAAAAAUAACAAAAAAAAAAGUUGGUUGUUUUAAUGUAAAAUUCAUCCAAGAAGAAGAGAUGCUUAUUAGAAACAGAACUUUGCAGUUGGGUAAAUACCUUUAAGUGUUAGUCUCCACAGAUACAUUUUAGCAAAAUUACAGGGUUCACCAGGCACUGGGGAGUGAUUUAUACUCCCCAAACUUAUUUUUAAGUCUGACAUUCUCAAUUAUUAAAUUAUAGGAAAUGGGGGCCAAUCAUCUGCAUAUCCCUGCUACUGGGCAAUUCUAUCCAUGGAGACCAAAUUAAAGAUCAGUGGGUUUGCUGGUUGGACAAAUAAGGAUUUCCCUGUAGAAAGAAAUGAUACGUAAUUUAUUUCUGACAUUUUAAACAAUUUUUAGGGAUUGCUGGAUGCUGUGCCAAAACAACAGUUGCUCCUUUGGAUCGAGUAAAAGUUUUAUUACAAGCUCACAAUCACCAUUACAAGCAUUUAGGUAAGUUAAUAGAUUAUAAAAAUGAAAGUGAAAUAAAAAAAUUAUCCAUCUGCUUGCUGGUUUCCCAUUGUAAAUUAUAAUGGAAAGAGGUAGAAAAGGGAAUUCAAAUUUGGUGGUAAAUAUAAGUUAUAUGUCUCUUAUUCAUUUUAAUCUGUUCAUUUGUAAUAGUGGUUAUAUGUAUUUAUCAUUUUAGGGUACUGAUAUUUUCCAAGCCAAAAUCUUGGAAUCAUGGAAGUAAGUACAAUUUUUAUUGGGAUCAAUGAGUUACAUACUUCACAGAUACACAUAAUAACUCGGCCUGAUUUUUUAAUUCAAUGAGUGGAGAUACAAUUUUUAAAUAUAAAACUGAAAUAAUAACUCCUUUAAAUACUUAAAUAGGCCAGGAUUAGGGGGGCCAGUGGUGCACAACUGUAAUCCCAGCUACUCAGAAGAUCUGAGGCUGCAGGAUCACAAGUUCAAGGCAGUUUAGAGAGACCCUGUCUCAAAAUAAAAUAAAAAAGACUGAGGAUGUAACUUAGUGGUAGAGCACUUUCCUAGCAUGUGUAAAGCCCCGGAUUUAAUCCCCAGGACUAUAGGGAGAAAACAAUGAAACAAGCCUUCUAGAAAUAUUAGAAUUUCUAGAACUUUUCCAAUAUUGCAAGUAGAAUUUAUUGUAAUUAGUUUCAGAUAAACUUGAUUUCUUAAGAAAAUAUCAAGACUUUAGAUAUUCCUCACAAAUGUAAAAUUCGGUCUUCUUCUUUUUUUUGGGCGGGGGGUGCGGGGAAUACCAGGGAUGAACCUGGGCACUAGGCCACUGAGCCACAUCCCCAGCCCUAUUUUGUAUUUUAUUUAGAGAUAGGAUUUCACUGAUUUGCUAAGUACCUGCCUUUUGCUGAGGCUGAUUUUGAACUCACAAUCCUCUUGCCUCAAUCUCUUGAGUUACUGGGGAUUACAGGCAUGGGUCACCUUGUGCUCAGCCCUUUUAAAAUUUUGUGACAGUUUCCCUAAACUGCCCAGGCUGGCUUUAUACUUUUUUUUUUUUUUUCCCCAUUUUAUUUUUGUGGUACUAAGGAUUGAACCCAGGGCACUGAACUACAUUUUCUGUCCUUUUUGUUUUAUUUUGACACAGGGUCUGGGUAAAUUGCCCAAGCUGGCUUUGUAUUUAUGAUCCUCUUGCUUCAGCCUCCUGAGAUACUGGAAUAACAGACUUAUACUACCAUAUUUGGCCCAAUAUGCAUUAUUUUUGUUUUUAUGUAUUAGUUUUAAAAAUGAAAAAGAAAGAUGAUAAUGGAACUGAAAAAUUUCUGUCACCUGGUAAGUGACAUCGAAACAUCAUAAGUACGAUGCAUUACUCAAAUGUUUAUGGUAAUGCUGCUGUAACUGCCUGUUGUAGAAAAUCAUAACAUCUACAAUUAUGUACAGUGCAUUAAAAUUUGAUUAUUAUAAUAAAGGAUCAAAUUAUUGGUUUUUGAAAAGCAUUGUUAUUGUUAUUAUUUGCAGUGCUAGGGAUUGAAUCCAGCUGAGCUCUGAUACUGAGCUACGUCCUCAUCCCCAGUCCCUGAUAUAUAUUUAUUUUUGGUACUGGGGAAUCUAGGGGUGCUUUACCAUUGAACUAUAUCCCCAGCCUUUUUUGUUUAUUAAUUAUUAUUAUUAUUAUUAUUAUUUGUGGUGCUGGGGAUUGAAGUUAGGGGCCUGUGCAUGUGAGGCAAGCAUUCGACCAACUGAACUAUAUCCCAACCCUUUUUAUUUAUUAUUUGUUUUUGGUACUGAGGAUUGAACCCAUGGGUGAUGAGCCACAUUUUCAUUUUUUAUUUUGAGACAGGGUCUUACUAAGUUGCUUAGGGUCUCAGUGAUUUGUUGAGGCUAGCCUUGAACUUGAGAUCCUAUUGACUCAGCCCUCAAAUUGCUGGGAUUACAGGCCUGUGCCACCACGCCCUGUCCCUUUUAUUAUUAUUCUUAUUUUAAAAAUAUUUUUUAGUAAUUAUUUGUAUGUGGUACUGAGGAUUGAACCCAGUGCCUCACACAUGCUAGGCAAGUGCUCUGCCACUGAGCCUCAACCCCAGCCCCUAAUUUUUAAUUUUGAGAUAAGUCUCACUCAGUUGCUUAUGGCCUUGCUAAUUGCUGAGGCCCAGUCCCUGAUUUUAAAUAUUGAUACAGGACUAGCCUUCAAUUUGAUUUUCUCCUGCCUCAGCCUUCUGAGUAACUAAGAUAAUCAUGUCUGAUUUCAAAAAAAAGCAUUAUUUAUAUAUUUUAAGAAAAUUCUAAACAAUCCAGAAUGUUUCAGAAUAGGGAAUUGGCAAAAUAAGUUUUGGUUUAUUCAUGUUAUAGACUGUUUUGCCCUCAGAAAAAAUUUAUUAAAGCCAGGUAUAGUGUUGCACACAUGUAAUACCAGUGGCUGUGAGGCUGAGGCAGGAGAAUGGCGAAUUCAAAGAUAGCCUCAUCACCUUAGAGAGACCCUGUCUCAAAAUAAAAAAUAAAAAGGGCUGGAGAUGUGGCUCAGUGGUUAAGUAACCCUGGGUUUAAUAUCUAAUUAAAAAAAAUUUUAUGAAAGAAUACUAGCUGGGUAUAUUAGUACAUGCCUGUAAUCCAAGUUAUUUGGAGACUCAGACAGGGUUUCCCAAAUCAUGAAAUUGAGACCCGCUUGGACAAUAUAAAGUAAUACUCCAUCUCAAGUAUGGGGCUGUAGCUCAGUGGCAGAGGGCUUGCCUGGUAUGUGUGAGGCACUGGGUUCGAUCGAUCCUUAGCACCACAGGAAAAUAAACAAAUAAAAUAAAGCCAUACUGUCUAUCUACAACUAUGAAAAAAAAUUUAGUACCUUUAUUUUAUUUAUAUAUGGUGCUGAGGUUCAAACCCAGGGCCUCACACAUACUAGGCGAGUACUCUACCACUGGCGUGUUCCAUAUAGAAAGAUGUUUUAUAAGAUAAAUAAGAAUCAGUAAUUUUCCAAUUAGAUUUUUUUCAACUGGGCAUUGAAUCCCAGUUCAGUUUACUAUUGAGCUGUAUCCCCAGCCAUUAUCUAUUAUUAUUAUUAUUAUUAUUAUUUUGUUUAGAGACAGGGUCUCACUAAAUUGCUUAUGUCUCAAAAAGUUGCUGAGGCUGGCCUUAAAUUUGCAGUCCUCCUCCUCAACAUUUUUUUUUUUUUUUGGUUGUGCUGGGGCUUGACCCCAGGGCCCUGUGCAUACCAACUGAGCUAUCUCCCCAGCCCUGCUCCCUCAACCUUUUGAAAUUCUGGAAUGACAAAUGUACACCACUGCACCCAGAUCCAAUUAGAUUUUUUUUCCCAUUAGAUUUUUUUUUUUUUCAGAGAGAGAGAGAGAGAAAUCCAAUUAGAUUUUUUUUCCCAUUAGAUUUUUUUUUUUUUUGGAGAGAGAAUUUUUUUAAUAUUUAGUUUUUAGUUUUCGGUGGACACAACAUCUUUUUUUUUAUUUUUUAUGUGGUGCUGAGGAUUGAACCCAGUGCCCCACGCAUGCCAGGCGAGCGUGCUACCGUUUGAGCCACAUCCCCAGCCCUCCCAUUAGAUUUUUUAAAAAUGAAAUUCUCCUCAGCCGUUUACGAUGGUGUGCAUCUAUAAUCCCAGCGGCUCGGGAGGCUGAGGCAGGAGGAUCUUGAGUUCAAAGCAAGCCUCAGCAAUUUAGCAAGGCACUUAGCAACUCAGUGAGACCCUGUCUCUAAAUAAAAUACAAAAUAGGGCUGGGAGUGUGGCUCAGUGGUUGAACACCCCUGGGUUCAAUCCUCAGUACCAAAAAAAAAAAAUGAGGUAAGUAUGUAGCUUCAUGGUAGAGGACCCUUCAGUUCAAUCCCCAGUACUGGAAAAAAUAUUCCAACUCUUUUUGAGUGUGUGUGUGUGGUGCUGGGGAUUGAACCCAGGACUUUGUGCAUGUGAGGCAAGCACUCUACCAACUCAGCUAUAUCCCAAGCCCUAGUAAUGAAUUCUAUAUCUUCACAUUAUGUACCUGUCAUGUGUAGAGAAAAACAGACCUUUGAAUUUAUUGAGAGAUUAUAUAAAACCUGGAAAGAAGGAAUCAAUCUUCUUUUGUUGUCUAAAUUGAAAGCAAAACGAGAUGAAUACCAGUAUAUCGUGGUGUUCCACCAUGUACUAGCCUUUCAGUAUCUAAACAGAAAUGUUUUAUUCCUUUAACCUUCUCCCCAUGCUGGUGUGUGUUGGUUUGUUUUCAGAUUUGUAAUUAUAUGUAAUCAUAGAUUACAUAUUCACAUUAGAUUUCAUGCUCUACAGAGCUGCAUAACCGUGGGUUACAGUAUACCCUACAAGGCUUGCAAAGUAUGAAGUGGAAUUCCUGGAAUGUAACUGUGAACUAUUGAUAUAGUAUUUGGGGUGCUGUGUAUUUUUAAAUAUACAAGCCCAAACCAAAAAAAAAAAAAUUGUAGUUUUUGUUUUUGUACUGGGAUUUGAACCCAGGGGUACUAUGCUAUUUCGCCAACCCUUUUUUUUUUUUUUAAUUUUUAAUUUUUUAGUUGUUAAUGGACAUUUAUUUUAUUUAUUUAUAUGUGGUGCUGAGAAUUGAACCCAGGGCCUCUCACAUGCUAGGCAAGUGCUCUGCUACUGAGCCACAACCCCAGCCCAUCACCAACCCUUUUUAUGUAUUUAUUUUUAUUUUGAAACUUAGUCUUGCUAAAUUGCCCUGGUUGGUCUUGGAUUAAAUUUGUAAUCCUCCUACCUUAGUCUCUCAAGUAGCUGAAAUUAUAGGUAUGUGAUUAAGUGCCUAGCAGUUAAUUUCAUUUCUAAAAAUAGUUUUAGGGCUAGAUGCAGUGCCCUGCCUCUAAACCCAGCUACUCAGAAGGCUAAGGCAGGAGAAUCUGAAGUUCCAGGACAGCCUGGGCAACUCAGUGAGACCCUGUCUCAAGCUAAAAAUAAAGAGUUGGGCCAGGUGGUUCGCACCUGUAUUCCCAGCAACUUGGGAGGCUGAGGCAAGAGGACAAGUUCAAGGACAGUAUCAGCAAUUGAGCGAGGCCCUAAGAAAUUUAGCAAGAAUAUAUUUCAAAAAAGAAUUUUGACAGGUGCCAUGGUCCUCGCCUAUAGUUGCAGUGGCUGUGAAGGCUGAAGAAGGAAAAUUGCAAGUUCAAAGCCAGACUCAGAAACUUAGCAAGGCCCUAAGCAACUUAGUGAUAACCUGUCUCAAAAUAAAAAAUAAAAAGGCUGGGGAAGUGACUCAGUGAUAAAACUCCCCUGAGUUAAAUUCCAGUGCUAAAUAAAUAAAAAGGGCUGGGGAUGUAGCUCACUGGUAAAGUACCUCUGGGUUCAAUCUUCACUACCAGAAUAAAUAGAUAAACAAACAAACAAACAAACGUUCUGAGGAUGUAGCUCAGUGGUAGAGUGCCACCACUUUCAAUCCCUAGUAUGUAUAAAUAAAUAAGUAAAUAAAGAUUUUGAGCAUUUUAUUCUAGCCCCUUUAGAUUUAUAAGAUAGUUAUUCGAAAUUUUCUUUUGAAAAUAUUUACCCUUUUUAAUUGUUGCAUAUAAUUGUACAUAUUUAUGAGGUACCAUUCUUUUUUAAAAAAUAUUUAUUUUUUAUUUGUAGUUGGACAUAAUACCUUUAUUUUGUUUAUUAAUUUUUAUGUGGUGCUGAGGAUCGAACCCAGGACCUCACAGGGCCUCACAUGUGGUAGGCGAGGGCUCUACUGCAGAGCCAGAACCCCAGCUCCUGGGGUACCAUGCUUUUAAAUUUUAAUUUAUUUAUUAAUUAAAAAAAAAAUUUGUGGCAGUGGGGAUUGAACCCAGGACCUAGUACAUGCUUGGCAAGUGCUAUACUACUAAGCUAUACCCCUAGACCUUUUAAAAUUUUUUAUUAAGAUUGCCUAUGCUUCCUUGGACUUGAGAUCCUCUUGCCUAGCCUCCUGAGUCACCGAAGUUAUAAGCUGUACCACCAUGCCCUGCUUUUAUUUAUUUUUAUUUUGGGAGGAUUAAACUUAGGGAUGCUCUAAGACUGAACCACACCUCCAGUCCUAUUUAUUAUUUGUUUGAAUAUAUAUAUUAUUAUUUUUUAAAGAGAGAGAGAGAGAGAGAGAGAGAGAGAGAGAGAGAGAGGGGGAGAAUUUUUUAGUAUUUAUUGUUUAGUUUUCAGAGGACACAGCAUCUUUAUUUUAUUUGUAUGUGGUGGUGAGGAUUGAACCCAGGGCUGCAUACAUGCCAGGUGAGCGCACUACCACUUGAGCCACAUCCCCAGCCCCGAAUAUAUAUUAUUUUAACAAGGUUUAUAAUUUAUAAAAUAGAAAAGCAAAAUGUUUCCUCUUCGUGUUCCAAUUUGAAAUUAAGCAGUUUUAAAAGUCUCUUUCAUUUUCUUCCAGAGCUAACGUAUACAUAUGCAGGCAUGUACUUAUAUUUUACCAAAUAUUAGUUCCUCUAAUCCUUACUUAAUAAAAAGUAAGUAAAAAUACAGAGGAGAAGGAUUUAUUUAUUUAUUUUUUUAAAUGUAUUUUUUAGUUGUAGUUGGACACAAUACUUUUAUUUUAUUUAUUUUUAUGUGGUGCUGAGGAUCGAACCCAGGGUUUAGGACAUGCUAGGCGAGCACUCUACCUGUGAGCCACAACCCCAGUCCCUCCCUCCCCCUUUUAAAAUUCUCAUUAUUAUUAUUUUUUUUUUAAAGAGAGAGAGAGAGAGAGAGAAUUUUUAAUAUUUAUUUUUUAGUUUUUGGCGGACACAACAUCUUUGUUUGUAUGUGGUGCUGAGGAUCGAACCCGGGCUGCACGCAUGCCAGGCAAGCGCGCUACCGCUUGAGCCACAUCCCCAGCCCCCAUUAUUUUUAUAUCUCUCUAUCUAUCUGUUUAUUUAUUUAUUUUUGUGUGAGUGUGUGUGUGGGUGGGGCGGGGAUUGAACCAAGGUCUUGUGCAUGCUAGGCAAGCACUCUACCAACUGAGCUAUAUGCCCAGCCUCGGAGAAGGCUUUAAAUAAUGAAUAAGCUUUUUUAUUUUUAUUUUUUGUGGUACUGGCAAUUGAACUCAGGAGUACUCUACCUCUGAGCUGCAUCACCAUCCCUUUUUUAAUUUUAAUAUUUGAGAUAGGGUCUUGCUAUACUGCCCAGGGCACCCUCCUGAGUUACUGGAUGACAUGUGUGGCCAUUGCACAUGGCAUAGAACUUUGAUAUAACAUAUACAUAAGGAACUUUGCAUGCUUCUGAAAAUGCAUAUUUUUUUCAAACAUUGUUUAUAACACUUGCAAAAAUGAGUCCAGUGUUAUAAAGAAAUAGUUUAUUUUCCAAAGUAAAAAUAGGACACCCUAGUGUUGUACAUCUGUAAUCCCAGUGACUCAAGGGGCUAAAGCAAGAGGAUUGCAAGUUCUAGGUCAGCCUCAGCAAUUUAGUGAAACCCUGUCUCAAAAAAUAAAAAGGGCUGGGCAUGUAGUUCAGUGGUAGAGUGCCCUGGGUUCGAUCUCCAGUAUUAAAAAAAUAAAAAAUGAUAGCCUAUAGGUUGAUAUAUUUAACAGGUAUUAAUUUGGAAAGGUUCAACAUCCACUUUUUUUAUGGGCUGGGGGCAGGUACUGGGGAUUGAACUCAGGAACACUCAACUACUGAGCCACAUCCCCAGCUCUAUUUUGUAUUUAGAGAAGGGGUCUCAUUGAGUUGCGCCUUGCCGAUGCUGGCUUUGAAUUUGUAAUAUUCUUGCCUCAGCCUCCCAAGUUGCUGGGAUUACAGGCAUGUGCCAUCACACCUGGUUGUGCUUUCUUUCUUUUUUCUUUUUUUUAUACUUUAUUUAUUUAAAAUAUUUUUUAGUUUAGUUUUUUUUUUUUUUUUUUUUUUAGUUGUUGAUAGAUCUUUAUUUAUUUAUAUGUGGUACUAAGGAUGGAACCCAGUGCCUCACACAUGCCAGGCAGGCACCUACAACUGAGCCACAACCCUAGCCCUGGCUGUGCUUUCUUGUAUCCUGUCCUCUUCAUCUUCUUCCCCUGGUCUUAUGUUUACUAGAUUUCUAUUUUUGAAACUAUUAUAUUACUUCCUUUUUAAUAAUGGUUUCUCUUAAAAUGUUUUUAACAAAAUAUAUGUGACAAUCAACAAGUUUUAAAGAAUAAUGUAAUAAAUAUAUGCAGAACUGCCACAGAGUUUAGAACGAUAUUAUCAGUUAUUUUUAUAUAUAGUUGAAACUUCCUCUUUAUUUCUGUACCUUAUAAACUUUUCUGUCCCUUACAGGUAGUCAUUGUUCUAAAUUUAACUUACUUUAUUUAUUUAUUUUUAUUAACAUUUACUUCUCACUCUUUUAUUUUUCUGGUACUGGGGAUAGAACCCAGCGCCUCAGGCAUGCUAAGCAAGUGCUCUACCACUGAGCUACAUACACACCCAGCCCUGUUUCUCACAGCUCUGGAGGCUGGGAAGACCAGGAUCAACAGGUCUGAGAAGGGCCCACUUCCUGUUUCAUAGUGAUGCCUUCUGGCAUCUCCUCACAUGGUGGAAGUGGCAAGGCAGCCCUCUGGGUUAACUUUAAAUUGUUGCACUUUUGAAUCAAGUUAAACAAGGGUUAGCUGGAUUUGGUGGCAUAUGCAUGUAAUCUCAGAGACUCAGGAGACUGAGGCAGGAGGAUCAUAAGUUUGAGGUCAGCAUUGGCAAUGUGAGUCUCAAAAAAAUAAAAAUAGGAAGGACUGUCAUGUGCGGGGCGAUCCUCGGCACCACAUAAAAUAAAAUAAAGAUGUUAUGUCCGCCGAAAAAUGAAAAAUAGAUAUUAAAAACUUCUCUCCCUUCUCUUUCUCUCUUUUUGUUUUUUAAAGAGAGAGGGAGAGAGAGAGAGAGAGAGAGAAUUUUAAUAUUUAUUUUUUAGUUUUCAGCAGACAUAACAUCUUUGUUUGUAUGUGGUGCUGAGGAUCGAACCGGGCCGCACGCAUGCCAGGCGAGCGCACUACCGCUCCCUCCCUCCCUCCCUCCCUCCCUCUCUCUCUCUCUCUCUCUCUCUUUAAAAAAAAUGCUUUUGGGAUAUAUCAUUUCUUAGAUGUUGAGUACCUACUGUUUUAAUUAAUAGGAAGGCCUCUUAUAAUCUAAAAUUAGAAAUGAGCCUAGUUUUGACUUUUAUAUAUAUGUUUUUUCAUUUUGGGGCUGGGAUUGUAGCUCAGUGAUAGAGUGCUUGCCUAGCUUGAGUGAGGCCCUGGUUUUGAUCCUUAACACAACAUAAAAACAAAUAAAUAAAAUAAAGUUUAGAUUCUUAAAAAAAAAAAAAGAUAAUAACAUAAUAGGCACAAGCUUUGAGAAGGAAGGCACCCCGUGUACAAUAGUGACAAAACCCAAUCAUCGUGCUGGGGUUGUGGCUCCAUGGUGAAGCGCUUGCCUCGACUGUGCGAGGCACUGGGUUUGAAUCUCAGCACCACAUAUAGAUAAAUGAAUAAAAUAAAGGUUCAUCAACAAAUAAAAAAAACCCCAAAAGCCAAAAAACCCCAAUUAUUUCCAUAGGUAUGAACCACAGAGGAUUUUAUUUUCAUAUUUGAUGAUUUUUUUUUUUUUUUUUUUGUAUAGGAAAUUGAACCCAGGGGCUCGAAUACACUGAGCCACAUCCACAGCCCCUUUUUGUAUUUUAUUUAGAGAGGCCUCUGUGAGUUGCUUAGGGACUCACUAAGUUGUUGAGGCUGGCAUUGAACUCACAAUCCUCCUUCCUCAGCCCUCUAAGCUGCUGAAAUUACAUGCCUGUGCCCCUGCACCCAGCUUGAUUAAACUUUUUUUUUUCUUUUUUGAGAAAAAGAUAAAAGAAAGUUUAUUUCUUUGCUAGUAAAGAAGAAACAGGGUAUUUCUGUCCUAAAGUCUGUGAUUCUGCCCAUCAGCAGGAACAGGGGGCUACAUUCCACAUAUUCUUUGUCUGGAAUUGUAACUGGCUUGUUAAUUUGGGAGAGUGUCAUCUCUGAGAUCUUUUGGUACCAUCCCCAAAGUCUGGAUUACUUUGUUCCUAUGGUGGGUAGUGUUUGAUGAAACUUUUUCUUUUUUUUUUUUUUUUUUUUUUUUUUUUUUUUAGUUGUCUUUAUUUUACUUUAUUUUGGUGCUGAGGAUCCAACCCAGUGCCUCACAUAUGUGCUCUACCACUGAGCUAAACGCCAGCCCUUGAUGAAACUUUUGAUUGAAAAAUUUGGAAGGGAAUCUGAACUUCUUUUUUUUUGGUACCAGGGAUUGAACUCAAGGGUGUUUAACCACUGAAUCAUUUUCUCAGUCCUGCCUUCUUUUUUUUUUUUUUUUUUUUUUUUUUGUGGUGCUAGGGAUUGAACCCAGGGCCUUGUGCAUGGGCGGCAAGCACUCUACCAACUGAGCUAUAUCCUAAGCACACCUUCCCCACCCCACACACUUUUUAAACAGGUUCUCAUUAAGUUGCUUGAGGGCCUUGCUAAACUGCCGAGGCUGGCUUUGAAUUUAUGAUCCUUCUGCCUCAGUCUCCAGAGUUGCUGGGAUUACAGGUGUGCACCACCAUGCCUAGCAGAAGUCUGACUUUUGUUUAUUAAUAUUUCUUUUUUUUUGUUUUUUCUUUUCUUAGUUGUCAAAUGGACUUUAUUUAUUUAAAUAUUUAUUUGGACACAAUACCCUUAUUACAUUCAUUUAUUUUUAUGUGGUGCUGAGGAUCAAACACAGUGCCCUGUGCAUGCUAGGCAAGCACUCUACCACUGAGCCACAAUCCCAGCCCCGACUUUAUUUAUUUAUAUGCGGUGCUGAGAAGCAAACUCAGUACCUCACACAUGCUAGGCAAGUGCCCUACCACUGCCACAACCCUAGCCCUGUUUAUCAGUAUUUCUAAUUAAAAUAUCCUAAUAAUGAAAAGUUGCCCCCACAUUUAAAUAAUUUUAAUAGGUUGGGUUUUUGUUUUGUUUUCUUUCUUUUUUUUUUUGUACUGCUGGAGAUCAAGAUAAGCACUAUACCCCUGAGCUAUAUGGUGCCCCAGUCCUUGUUUUUUGUGUGUAUGUGCUGGAAUUUAAACCCAGUGCCUCACACAUGCUAAACACACACUCUGUCACUGAACUAUAAUCCCAGUCCCAGUAAAUCAUCUUUUUAUUUGCUUGUUCUAUUUAGUAGUUUCCUCACAUAAACAAAGUUUCAUCAAACACACAUAUAUCUGGGUCAGUCUGGGAAAGAGUCCUUUAUCUUUUCAUAUGGAGUCAGUCAUCUUCAGUGCAAUUUCUGGAUUCUUAAAUAUUUCCAUUGGCUUUUAUAUAUACAUUUAUUUUAUUUUAUAUAUAUAUAUUUUUUUGUUUGUUUGUUUGUUUUGUUGGUUGUAGAUGGACAGAAUGACUUUCUUUGUUUAUUUUUUUUAUGUGGUGCUAGGGAUUGAACCCAGUGUGUCACACGUGCUAGGCAAGUGCUCUGCCACUGAGUGACAGCCCAGCCCUCCGUUGUUAAUCUUUUAUAGAUUUUGUAAUUCAAUUUAAUUUUCUUUCUUUUUUUAAAAUAUUUUUUAGUUGUCAAUAGACCUUUAUUUUAUUUAUUUUUAUGUGUUGCUGGGAAUCAAACCCAGUGCCUCACACAUGCAUGCUAGGGAAGCACUCUACCACUGAGCCCCAGCCCCUCAAUUUAACUUUAUUUUUAAAUUUUUUUUUAAUAUUUAUUUUUUAGUUGUAGUUGGACACAAUUCCUUUAUUUCAUUGUUUAUUUUUUUAUGUGGUGCUGAGGAUCGAACCCAGGGUCUUGCAUGUGCGAGGUGAGUGCUCUACCGCUGAGCCACACCCCAGCCCCUCAAUUUAAUUUUCAAUAAUUUAGUAUAAUUUUUAGCUGUUCUUGCUAUAGUAGGCUUUAUAUUUUAUAUGAUAUAUGCUUAUUUUUAAAAAUUUUAUAGAAAUUUAUUUAGGAAAAAAUGUAACAUCCAAAUAGAUUAAUAGCCACUACAAAUAUUUAUUUUUUUAAAAAAAUUUUAUUUGUUUUAAUUAGUUAUACAUGACAGUAGAAUGCACUUAUAUACUUUGAUAUAUCAUACAUAGAUGGGAUAUAAUUUCUCAUUUUUCUGAGUAUACAUAUUAUAGAAUCACAUUGGUCAUACAGUCACAUAUAUACAUAAAGUAAUAAUGUCUGUUUCAUUCUACUAUCUUUUUUAUUCCCACAUCCCCUGCCUUCCACUCCUUUCACUUCCCACUACCUAAUCUAAGAUAUAUGCUUAUUUUUAUAAUUAAGAUUUUAAGCAAAUGUAUCUGUUAUAUAGAAAUUACCAUUUGUAUAAUUCUUAGCAAAAUUAUUUUAUGAAUGAUGGCUUAGUUAUCUCUAUCAAUGAUUGUCAUGAAAACAAAUUUAGAUAACUUUCUGUUUUAAUUGUGUUUUCAUUCUGAAAUCUUUCUAAAAAUAGGAGUAUUUUCUGCAUUGCGGGCCGUUCCCCAAAAGGAAGGAUACCUUGGAUUGUAUAAAGGAAAUGGUGCAAUGAUGAUUCGAAUCUUUCCCUAUGGUGCAAUCCAGUUUAUGGCAUUUGAGCAUUAUAAAACGGUAGUUGAAUUUUCCUCUUUCUCUUUAGUGUCAUUGAAUAUUAUACUUACUUAACCAGACAUUUACUUUGAAUUUUGUUUUAUUUAUUUAUUUAUUUAUUUAUUUAUUUAUUUAUUUAUUUUGCAGUGCUGGGGAUAGAACUCAGUACUUUGAUAGAACUCACAUGCUAGUACUUUGAACUAUAUACUUUUUUAUUUUUUUAUUUUUACUUGUAGAUGGACAUAAUAACUUCAUUUUUAUGUGGUGUUGAGGAUUGAACCUAGUACUUCACACAUGCUAAGCAAGUGCUCUACCACUGAGCUUCACCUCUAGCCCAUGAACUUUAAUUUACUUUCAAUAAAUGAAUAAAGUAAUAUCUUUUAUAAGGAAUGAGAUUUGAUAAUGUUUAAUUUGUAAAUAUAACUUGGUUUUAGAAUUACCUAUUCCAUAGUUGUUAGUCAUUUAUGAAUAUAUUCUUUUUCUUUUGCAUUACAAUUCUUAAUAUAUAUUCUUUUUUAAAAAAAUAUUCUUUUUAGUUGUAGAUGGACACAAUAUCUUUAUUUACUUAUUUUUAUGUGGUACUGAGGAUCGAACCCAGUGCCUCACAUGUGUGAGGCAUGUGCUACAGCCCCAGCCCAUGAAUAUAUUUUUUUUUUUUUUUUUUAGAUAUUUGAAAUACAACUUUAUUCUGAUUCUAAACAAAAAGGAAUGGGGAAUAUAUUCUUUAUGUUCAUAUUUAUGAAGAAAAGUCAAAAAGAUAAAAAUAAACUGUGCAUAGUUGUACACACCUGUACUCCCAGCUAUUUGGGAGGCUGAGGUAGGAAGAUCACAAAUUUGAGGCCAGCCUGGGCAAAUUAGCAAUGCCUUGUCUCAAAAUAAAAAAUAAAAAAAAAAGGACUGGGGGAUGUAGCUCAGUGGCAAAGCAUCUUACUUAAUUUCUUACUUAAUUUCCAGUAAUAUAGAUAGAUAGAUAGGUAGGUAGGUAGGUAGGUAGAUAGAUAGGUGGAUGGAUAUCCGGUAGAGAUGUAGCUCACUGGUUGAGUGUCCCUGAGUUCAAUCCAAUACAGCAAAAAUAAAUAAGAAAGGCUGGACAUGGUGGCACAUGCUUAUAAUCCCAGCGGCUUGAGAGGCUGAGCCAGGGGGAUCAGCACAUUCAAAGACAGUCUCAGCUACUUAGUGAGGCCCUAAUCAAUUUAGUGAGACCCUGCCUCAAAAUAAAAAAAAUGUAAAGGGCUGGGGAUGUGGUUCAGUGUUUAAGUGCCCUUUGGUUCAAUCCCAAGUACCAUUAAAAAAAAAAAAAGUUUAUCUCCUCAAAUAUUAUCUUAACAUUAAAAAAGGGUUAAAUUGAUUACAUUUCAAAUGGUAUUUAUCUUUUUUCUCCCUUUGCUGGGGAUGGAACCUGAGCCUCUGCAUGCUAGGCAAAUACUCUACCACUGAGCUAAUUAGUUUACCAUAAGUUUUGUGUUGCUAACUCUAUUCCUGAGAUACAUCCCUAGCCCUCUUAUCUUAGAAGGAAAAAUAAUAGCAAUGAGAAAAAUGUUUCAAGGUGGUUAGUCAGAACUGAUGCCAUGACUGUACCAAAGCCUCAUUGUCUGUGGUAGCUUAUUUGCCUUCUUUUUUUUUUUAAACUCUCAUUUUGAGGGCUGGGGAUGUGGCUUAAGCAGUAGCGUGCUCGCCUGGCAUGCGUGCGGCCCAGGUUCUAUCUUCAGCACCACAUGCAAAAAUGUUGUGUCCGCCGAGAACUAAAAAAUAAAUAUUAAAAAAAAAAUUCUCUCUCUCUCUCUCUCUCUAAAAAAAAAAAAUAAAAUAAAAUAAAAUAAACUCUCAUUUUGAGGUGCUAGGGAUUAAACCCAGGGCCCUGUGCACAUUUGGCAAGCAACACGCCACUCUACCAUUGAGUUCAUCCCUAGCCCCUAUAGUGGCUUUUUAUUCCUACUACCCUCAUUCACACUUUCAGUUUAUUGUUAUUAAUAUAUAGUAUUGUAAUUGUAAAUUAGAUAAUCUUCAUUAUUAAAUGGUGAAAUGGACAUCAUGUAAAAAAAUAUAAUUUAAUUCAGUAUUUUUGUUUUCUAGUUAAUUACCACAAAGCUGGGAGUUUCUGGUCAUGUGCACAGAUUAAUGGCUGGAUCCAUGGCAGGUAAGAGGAGUAGGUCUAUUUUAUUUCUGAGAAGUUAAUUUUUUUUUCUUGUUGGUAUUGUACUGCAGAUUGAACUGAGAUGCAGUUUACUACUGAGCCACAUCCCUAGCCCUUUUAAAAAUGUUUUUAUGGAGAUAAGAUUUCCCUAAGUUGUUUAGGGUCUUGCUAAGUUGCUGAGGUUGGCUUUGAACUUGUGAUCCUCCUGCCUCAGCCUCCCAAGCUGCUGGGAUUACAGCUGUUGGCCAUUGUGCUGAGGAAAAUAUUGCUAAUGUUUAUUUCCCAGUUUUAUGUUUGUCUUUUGACCUUGUGAUUUGGUUUUACUUUUAAUUUUUUUUUUUUUUUUUUGGUGCUGAGGAUUGAACCCAGGACUUCACUCAUGCUAUGUAAGUGCUCUACCACUGACCUACACCCAACCCUUGUGAUUAUGUAUUCAUUUGUAUUUCUCUUUAAUUUUUUAAAAUAUUUUUUUAGUUGUCAAUGGACCUUUAUUAUUUAUUAAUAUGUGGUGCUGAGAAUCAAUCCCAGUGCUUCACUAUGCUAGGCAAAUGCUCUACUACUGAGCCACAUCCCCAGCCCCAAUUUUUUUAUUCUUUGUGAUCUUUUUGGUCGUUUUUCUUUUUUAAUACCAGGUAUUGAAUUCGCGGGCACUCAACCACUGAGCCACAUCCCCAGCCCUAUUUUGUAUUUUAUUUAGAGACAGGGUCUCACUGAGUUGCUUAGCACCUCGCCAUUGCUGAGGUUGUCUUUGAACUCUCGAUCCUCCUGUCUUAGCCUCCCAAGCCACUGGGAUUAUAGGUGUGUGCCACCAUGCCAGCUUCAAUAUAAUUUUAAGAAAAGAAUUCUUUGUGUUCCAUUAAGUAAACAAUUUCUCCAUUUUAUAUUUUGGGAAAAUAAGUAAAAAAUCAAAAUCACAUGUCUUGCUUAGUGUCAGAGGUAUAUAGCAUAUCUUUUCUGAUAUUUUAACUACACAUAGAGAAGCUGUAGAAUAAAUUGUUUUUAUAAACUGUUAUAAUAAAAGCCAGUCUAUUUUGUAUAUAGGUGGUACACACCUGUAGUUCCAGCUUCUUGAGAGGCUGAGAUGGGAGGAGUGAUCAGGCUCAGUAAUUGGAGGCUACCUUGGGCAAGCAAGCAAGAUGUUGUCUCUUAAAAAAUAAACAACCUGGAGUUCUAGCUCAGUGGUAGAAUGCUUGCCUACCACAUAUGAGGCACUGAGUUUGAUCUUAAAGACCACAUAAAAAUAAAUAAAAUAAAAGUAUUAUUCCAUCUACAACUAAAAAAAUAAAAUAAACAACCCCGAAUGAGCAGGGAAUAUUGCUCAGUGGUAGAGAACUUACUAAGCAUGUGUGAGACUCUGGGUCCAAUCCCCAAAACUCCAAAAAUGUCCCCUCAUGAUCUACUUAUACUAUACCAUUUGGUGCUAAGAAUACUAGUGCAAAUGGGAAGAACUUUAAAAGAAUUUAACAGACUGACCCUUCCUACAUGGUUUUUCCAGCUGAUUAUAAUUCCAUCAUUAAUGUCAACUUUGAUUUCAUUGGGUUUUCAUCAUUACUCUGGUAUUGAGAACACUACUAUUGAUAGGGGAGAUCCGUACACAUACAUACACAUAAAUACAUACAUAUACACAUACAUGUUUGUGUCAUAAUUUUUUUUUCUAUAUUUAAGUUUUAAUUUUCUUUCCAGGUAUGACAGCAGUUAUCUGUACUUACCCUCUUGACAUGGUUAGAGUACGCCUAGCAUUCCAGGUGAAAGGGGAACACACCUAUACAGGAAUCAUUCAUGCAUUCAAAACAAUUUAUGCAAAGGUAUUUCAUAUUUACCUUCCACAUAUUUAACAUGUCCUUUUAUAUUUAGGAAAUGAUUUUGAAUUAUAUAUAACUGAUAUUAAUAAUAAUAAUUAUGAAAGCCUAUUCUUGUAUUUCAGUGUGGGUCCCAGAAUAAUUUUUCCAGUUUGUGUAUGUUUUUAUUCUUUGAAUUUUAUCAUCAUGAACACAAUGUAAUAUCACUUCUAAUUUUCUUCACAAAAAGGAAGGUGGUUUCCUUGGAUUUUACAGAGGACUGAUGCCCACUAUAUUAGGAAUGGCUCCAUAUGCAGGUAUGUUUCAAAUUAGGCAGGAUCCUACUUUGUGUGUUUAAAUUGUUACCAGUUUUUUUCAUAAGUGGUAACAUGAAUGAUGCUACUUACAAAGGCUUUUUACUUGCUAAAUGAUGAAGAUAAAAUUAUGGUCCAUAUAUGGUCUUACAAAGAUGACUAUUCAUGUAGAAUGAGUAGAAGUUCACUUUUAACAUGAUUUUCUUAACAUCUGUGUCAGGUAUAGUCUUGUUAAUGCACAUUAUUUUAGAUGAUUGUUAAGGAUACAGUUUUAUGAGUGUGUUUAUUAAAAGAAAGAAUUGAAAAAUAUUUUUUCCCUUAUGAUAAAUAAUGAUGAUGUAUUAUGGGAAAUUUAGAAAAUAUAGAAAAGUAGAAAGGAGAGAUAUGAUAUCUGUAGUUCUCAAAUUUUGUUGUUACCUUGUUUAUAUUCCUGUUUUUAAUCUAAUUUUAAAUUUUGAGAUAAUUAUAGAUUUACAUAAAGUUGUAAGAAUCAAUACGGAGAGAUCUUGCAUACUCUACCCAGUUUCCCCCAAUGGGAAUGCCUUAAAAAACUAGUACACUAUCAUAACUAGAAUAUUUACAUACUGUAAAGAUACAAAAUAGGUACAUCAUCACAAAGAUCUUGCUUACUUUUAUAGCCAUACCCCUCCUGUCCUUUCCCUAACUCCUGAGGUAAUAAACUUUCAAUAACUUUAUAUAAAUGGUAUCAUUUAGUAUAUGACUUUUGGUUAUUGAUUUUUCACUCAUAAGUUCCUGGAGAUUCAUCCAAGUUGUUUGUAUCAAUAGUUUGUUCUUUUUUGUUGAUGAUUAUUAUUCCAUGAUAUGGAAGUAUCAAUACUUUGUGUUUCAUGGAAUUGUAUUUUAAAGAUAUAUUCAUAUUAUGGAUAAAUGUUCAUUUAUUUAUCCAGUCGUCUAUAUAUUCUAGUUCAAGAUUGUUUUCUGGACUAUAUAACUAGGAGUAGAAUUUUUAGGUUGUAAGUAAUGUAUUUCUUCACUUCUUGUAGAUAAGAUCAAAUUGAUUGAAAAUAGUUGCUAUAUCCAUUUAUAUUUCCACCAGCAGUGGUUAAAAAUUUCCAUUAGUAGUCAGGUAUGGUGCCACAUGCCUGUAAUUCCAGCUAUUUGGGAAGCUGAGGCAGGGGGGUUGUGUAUUUAAGGCCAGCCUGAUCAAUUUUGCAAGACUUUGUCUCAAAAUAAGAUAAAAAAGGGCUCAGGGUACACCCAGUCAACGGUAGAGUGCUUGUCUAGCAUGUCCCAGACUCUGGGUUCAAUUCUUGUACUGAAAAGAAAAAAAAAAAUCCUAUUGGUAUUAACUGAUUUCAAAAUCUUCUGUGAUUUUUAUUUUUUUUAUUUUUUUAUUUUUUUGGUGGGGUACCAGGGUUUGAACUCAGUGGCACUCAGCCACUAAGCCAUAUCCCCAGCCCUAUUUUGUAUUAUUUUUUUUUAAUAUUUAUUUUUUAGCUUAUUUAAUUUAUUUACUUAUAUAUGUUGCUGAGGAUUGAACCCAGGGCCUCUCAUGUGCUAGGCAAGCGUUCCACUGCUGAGCCACAACCCCAACCCCUGUUUUUUAUUUUAUUUAGAGAUAGGGUCUAACUGAGUUGCUUAGCAUCUCUCUGUUGCUGAGGCUGGCUGUCUCAGCCUCCUGGGCUGCUGGGAUUAUAGGCAUGUCCCCUCGUGCCUAGCUCUUUUGUGAUUUUUGUAGGGAAUAAAAAGUAAUUUAUGGGCUGGGAUGUGGCUCAAGCGGUAGCGCACUCGCCUGGCAUGCGUGCGGCCGGGUUCGAUCCUCAGCACCACAUACAAAACAAAGAUGUUGUGUCUGCCGAAAACUAACUAACUAACUAAAUAAAUAAAUAAAUUCUCUCUCUCUCUCUCUCUCUCAAAAAAAAAAAAAAGUAAUUUAUGAAAUUUUAUUUUGUGUCUCCCAGAUUACUGAUGAGAUUGAACAAUUUUUAUGUAUUAUCAAUCACAUUUCCUUUUUUGUGAAGUACCUGUUUAUACAUGUGUUUGGCCUACUUUUCUUAUUGAUUUGUCUCAAUUCUUCCCACCCCGUGUCCCCCGCCUUCCGCCCCUUUUGGUAUUGGGGAUUGAACACAGGGCCUAACACAUGCUAGGCAAGCAUUCUACCACUAAGCUACAUCCCCAGCCCUUUUUCAAUUUAUUUUGAGACAUGGUCUUGCUAAACUGAUAAAACAGGCCUUGAACUUGUGAUCUUCCUGCCUCAGCCUCCCAGUAGCUGGGAUUACAGGUGUGUCACCACCAUACAUGGCUUGUAUUAAUUCUUUAUGUAAUUUUUAUUUAUAUAUAUUGAAAAUAUUGCUGUUUUUGGCUUGGAUUAUUUAUUUAUUUAUUUAUUUAUUUAUUUAGGCAAUAUUGGAAGUUGAAUCCAGGGUGCUCUAACACUGAACUUCUUGUUCAGUCUUGCCCUCCCUUUCCCCAACCAAUCCCCUCCCCAUUUCUUUUUUCUUCUUCUUUCUUUUUUUUCUUUUUUACAGAGAGAGAGAGAGAGAGAGAGAGAGAGAAUUUUUUUAAUAUUUAUUUUUUAGGCGGACACAAUAUCUUUGUUUGUAUGUGGUGCUGAGGAUCGAACCCGGGCCGCACACAUGCCAGGCGAGUGCGCUACCGCUUGAGCCACAUCCCCAGCCCCUCUUUUUUCUUUAAAAGAAAUUUUUUUUGGUACCAGGGAUUUUACCCAGGAUGCUUAACCACUGAGCCACACCUCCCAGUCCUUUAUUUUAUUUAUUUAUUUUUUUUUGUGGUGCUGCGGAUUGAACCCAGGGCCUUGUCCAUACAAGGUAAGCACUCUACCAACUGAGCUAUAUCCCCAGCCCCCUUUAUUUUAUUUAAAAUUUUUUAUCUUGGGACAGGGACUCACUAAAUUGUGCCAUCAUGUAAAGCUGCCUCCUAUUUUUUUGAGACACAGUCUCUCUAAGUUGCCCAGACUGAACUCAAACUUGAGAUCCUUCUGCCUCAGCCUUCUGAGUAGCUAUGAUUACAGACAUGUGCCACUGUGCCCUGUUAUUUAUAGUGUCUUUAAUUAUUUACCAGAGAUUGAACUCAGGGGCACUCAACCACAGAGCCACAUCUCAGCUGUAUUUUGUAUUUUAUUAGAGACAGGGUCUCACUGAGUUGUUUAACACCUCGCUUUUACUGAGGCUGGUUUUGAACUCACGAUCCUCCUGCCUCAGCUUCCUCGGCUGCUGGGAUUACAGGUGUGUGCCACCACGCCUGGCUCUAUAGUAUCAUUAAAAAUUUUUUAAAUGUAAUUUUUUUAGUAUCAGGGAUUGACCAGUAUUGCUUAACCACUGAACUACAACCCCUGCUCUUUUUGUGUGUUUUUAUUUUGAGAUAGGGUCUUACUUAAUUCUUAGGGUCUCGAUAAUUUGCUGAGGCUGGUCCUGAACUUGCCAUCUUCCUGCCUCUGCCUCCCAAGUCACCACCAUACCUGACCCUAUAGUUUGAUGAAGGGAAUUCUGUUUUUUUAAACUUGCUGUGUCCUUUUUUUUUUUUUUUUAGUUGUAGGUGAACACAAUACCGUUAUUAUUUAUUUACUUAUUUUUAUGAGGUGCUGAGGAUCAAACCCACAACCCACUGCCUCACACAUGCUAGGCAUUGUAGCAUUGAGCACCAACCUCAACCCUCUAUGGGUUUUUUUUUUUAAUGACAGCUGUAUUGAGAUACAAGUCACAUGCCAUAAAAUUUACUAAUUUAAAUGUAUGUUUUUAUUGGUUUUGAGUAUAUUUACAGAGUUGUACAACUGUCACCACAAUUAGUAUUAUAACAUUUUAAUUACCUCUGAAAGAAACUUUUCAGCCUUUAUCCAUCACUUCCCAGUCCUAAGCAACUACUAAUCUUUUCAUCUCUAUUGAUUUGCUUUUUCUGGAUAUUUCAUACAAAUGAAGUCAUUUUAUACAUGGUAUUUUAUGACUGGUAUCUUUCAUUUAGUGUAAUGAUUUCAAGGUUCAUUCAUGUUGCCAUAUUCAUCAUUCCUUUUCAUGGCCAAAUGGUAUUCUACUGCAUGGACGUGUUGCAUUUUGUUUAUCCCUUCCUAAGUUGACAGGCAUUUGGGUUGUUUUCUGUUUUUGGCCAAGAGGAACAAUGCUGCUAUGAACAUUCAUAUACAUGUUUUUGUAUGGUUAUAUGUUUUCAUUUCUCUUGGGUAUUUUCCUCACUGUUUAAUAUUUUGACGAAUUGUCCAAAUCUUUUCCUGAUGGCUUCACUUUUUUACAUUCCUGCUAGCAAUAUGUGAGUUGUUAUUUUUGACAUUUUUGGUAAUGCUUGUUUUUAUUUGACUUUCAGUUAUAGUCAGUCUAUUGAGUGUGAAGUUGUAUCUCAUUGUGGUUAUAAAUUUCAUUGCAUUUUUUUAUUACUGAGUCAGAUUUCAUUGUAUGAGCAUAGAAUAGUAUGUUUAUUUUCCUAUUAAUGGAUAUUUGGAGUUUUUCCAAAUUAGGGUUAUUAUAAGUAAAGCUACUAUAAACAUAAAAGUCUUUUUAUGUGCUUAUGUUUCUGUCUUUGGGUCAAAUACUCAGAAGUGGAAUUGCUGGGUAAUAGAAUAAGAAUAUGUUUUAAUUGAAUCUGUUUUAAUUUAUAGGAAGUUUCCAAACUGCUUUCCAAAUAAAUUUUUUAUUUAACUUUUUAAAUUUUGAGACAGGGUUUCACUAAGUUGCUAAGUUGCUGAGGCUGGCCUUGAACUUGUUAUCCUCCUGCCUCAGCCUGCCAAGCCACUGGAAUUACAGGUGUGUGCUACCAUGCCCAGCUUUUCCAAAUGUUUUUUUUUUUUUUUUUUUUUUAAGAAUGAUUUUUAGAUUUUAGUAUUUUAUAUAUAACCCUUAAUCCUGCUGGGUUUUCUUCCCUUAGUGCUGGGGGAUUGAAUCUAGAGCCUUGUGCAUGCUAGGCAAGAGCUCUGCACUGAGCCCCAUCCCCAGCCUUGGAUUAUUUUUUCCUUUGUUAAGGAUAACCAUUUGACCCAGUACCAUUCAUUAAAUAAUAUCUCUUUUCCCUGUGGCCUGCAAUGAUACUUUUUUUUUUUUUUUCAAAGUAGAGUACUAUUUUGUAAGGAGUCAUUAUAUUUUGUAGGGCAAAUUCCUUCACCUUAUGUUUAUUAUUUUCAAGAAAAUCAAGAACUAUGGAUAUUUUGCUAUUCCAUGAAUGUUUUAAAAUUAGCAUUUGAUAUUUCACAAAAAUCCUCAUUGGAAUUUUGAAUGAAAUUUCAUAAAGGUAUUUUUGUAUAAAUAUAAUUUUUUUUUUUUAGUUGUAGGUGGACACGAUGCCUUUAUUUUUAUUUAUUUAUUUUUUUGUGGUGCUGAGGAUUGAACCCAGUGCCUCGCCCUUGCUAAAUGAGCGCUGUACCACUGAGCUACAACCCCAGCUGGUAGUGGUCAUCUUUGUUAGACAUAUUAUGUAGAUACAAGGAUUUUGUUUUUGUUUUUGUUUAUUUAUUUAUUUUUUUUUGGUACAAGAUUUUGAACCCAAAAGCAUUUAACCACUGAGCUAUAUCCCUACCCCCCUUUUUUUUUUAAAUUUAGAGAUAGGGGCUCACUAAGUUGCUUAGCCCCUUGCUAAGUUGAUCAUGCUGGAUUUGAACUUGAGAUCUUCCUGCUUCACUGUCCUGAGUUGCUAGGAUUAUAGGCAUGUGCCAUUGUACUGGGCUGUAGACACAAGUUUUUUUGUUGUUGUUUAGACACAAGUUUUGAUGUAUCUUUUAGACAAGUACAUUUUCAGUUUACUGCUUGAUUUAAUUUUUAUAUUAUAGCUAGCCAUUUUCCUACUGUUGACAUUAUUAUAAUCAUUAAUAUUUGGUACUUGGGGUUGAACCCUGGGGUGCUUAACCACAGAAUACAUUCCUAGUUCUUUUUUUUUUUUGAGAUGAUCUCACUAAAUUGCUGUGGGUGUGACUAAAUUGCUGAGGCCAGCCUCAAACUUGUGAUCCUUCUUGACUCAGGCUCCCAAGUCACUGGGAUUUCAAAUCUGCCCCAUGUCAGAACCACAUACAAACAAACAUCUUUGUUUGUAUGUGGUUCUGACAUUAUUAUAGUCAGCCUCCAUGUUACUUAUAGAUAGUUUGGGUUUUCUAUAUGAACAGUCAUAUUUUGUGUAAAUAAUAUCAUUUUUUCUUCUAAUCCAAUCCUUCUUUCUUUGUUUAUGUUUAUCCUAUCUUAGUAUAACUGGCUAGGGACCUUUAGUGCAGUAAUGAAUAGAAGUAGUGAUAAUGGACAUUUUUGCUCCUUGCUGAUUUUAUUUUAUUUUAUUUUUUGGUACUGGAUUCCAACCCAGGUGCUUUACCACUGAUCUACAUCCCCAGUACUUUUUAUUUCUUUAAAUUUUGGGGACAGGGUCUCACUAAAUUGUUGAGUGUCUUUCUGAAUUACAGAGGCAGGCCUGGAAUUUGCAAUCCUCCUGCCUCACUAAGAUUGCAGUCCCCUUUUAUUUAUUUAUUUGGUACCAUGGACUGAACCCAGGGGUCUUAACCACUGAGCCACAUCCCCAGUCAUUUUUUUUUUUUUUAAAGAGAGAGUGAGAGAGAAUCUUUUAAUAUUUAUUUUUUAGUUUUCGGCGGACACAACAUCUUUGUUUGUAUGUGGUUCUGAGAAUUGAACCCAGGCCGCGCUACCGCUUGAGCCAAAUCCCCAGCCAAGCUUUCUUUUUUUUUAAUACUUAUUUUUUAGUUGUAGUUGGACACAAUACCUUUAUUUUAUUUAUUUAUUGUUACAUGGUGCUGACCAUCGAACCCAGGGCCAUGCACUUGCUAGGUGAGUCCUCUACUGCUGAGCCACAACCUCAGCUCUGGCCUUGAAUUUUCAAUCUUCCUGCCUCAGCCUCCCCAGUAGCUGGGUUUACAGGCGUGUGUCACCACACCUGUCUAAAGUCAUCAUUCUUAAACUAUGCCAUUCAUCAGGCUGAGUUAGAUUUUUGUUCUUUUUCUUGUCCAAGGGGUGGAACCCAGGACCUUUGGCAUGUUAGACAAGUGAUCUAUCACUAAGCCACACCCCCAGUACAGGUUUAGUUUUUAGGUGUUUUUUUUUUGGGGGGGGGUGGGUAUCUAGGAUUGAACUAGGGGCACUCUACCACAGAGUCAUAUCCCCAGCCCUAUUUUGUAUUUUAUUUAGAGACAGGGUCUUACUAAUUUGCUUAGUGCCUUGCUGUUGCUGAGGCCGGCUUUGAACUUGCCGGCCUCCUGCUUCAGCCUCAUGAGCCACUGGGAUUAUAGGCCUUCGCCACUGCACCUGUCCAGGUUUAGGGUUUUUUUGUGUAUGUGUGGUGCUGCAGAUAGAACCCAGAACCUUGUACAUGUGAGGCAGGAACUCUAGCAACUAAGCUAUAUCCUAAACCUCAUGUUUAGUUUAAUUUUUUUUUCAAAUAAAGGUUAUGUGCAGAACCUUUUUUAAAAAAUAUUUACUUUUUAGUUUUAGGUGGACACAAUAUCUUUAUUUUAUUUUUUAUGUGGUGCUGAGGAUCGAACCAAGGGCCUCACACAUGCUAGGCAAGCACUCUACCACUGAGCCACAACCCCAGCCCAUCUUGCUAAGUUCUUUAGGAACUCACUAAGUUGUUAAGGCCUGCCUCAAACUUGUGAUCCUCCAGCCUCAGCCUCACAAGUCCCUGGGAUUACAGGUGUGUGCUGCUGUGCCUAGCAAAAUCAUGUAAAAUUUUUUGCAAGCACCAACUUCAUACUAUAUUAUUAAAAUCUCCAAGUCUUAUGAGCCAAUAUGAACAUUUUAUUAUGUUCAUAAUUUUUUCUUGAAGAUAAAAUUGUUAUAGUUAAAAUUGUAAUGCUUUUUCACUUCUGAAUUUUUUGCCUAUAUUAUCACCUUCAUUAUUGUUGUAAGUAUAAGUUGUCAUAGUUACUUGUAAAUAUUAAUCAUGAAUUUAAUUUUCACUCAUGUAAAACUUUGGAAAAUGUUUAUUUUGAUUCUAUAUAAGGUGGCAUUACGUCACUACCACUUCCUUCAAUGAGUAAUAUGCUAGUAUAUGAAAACCAAUGCUAUAAUUUUUUAUAGGUGGUAAAUAUUUAUAAAUACUUCAAUAAUUAUAAAUACAAGAUCUUUCUUAUGUUAAGCCAAAUAUCAGUAAUUAGGAAAUGCUUAGUUACUUUCUUGAAUUAAUUGAUUAUUACAUAAGAAAAGGUGACUUUUUCGCGGCUCAUGUUCUGUGAAGCAUCAUGGUGAAUUUAUAUUUUGUUUUUCAGGUGUUUCAUUUUUUACUUUUGGUACCUUAAAGAGUGUUGGGCUUUCCCAUGCUCCUACCCUUCUUGGCAGACCUUCAUCAGACAAUCCUAAUGUCUUAGUUUUGAAAACUCACAUUAACUUACUUUGUGGUGGUGUUGCUGGAGCAAUAGCACAGACAAUAUCGUAAGUUUCUUCAACAACUUAAUUCAGUCAAAUUAUAGUUAUCCAAUCCUAAUUUUUAGCGUUGGUUAAUUAUUUUAGUUUUUCUAAUAAAUUCUUCAAAAACAGGAUCCCUUGUAAAACAACAAGUACUAAUUUUUAUAAGCAUUAAUUUAUUUUUUUCAGAUAAGCCUUAACUUUAAGGAUAUUAAUAAGUAAUCAUAUGCCAAAUUGAUAAAGUUAAGGUGAAUCCUACCGAUUUUAUACAGAUACACUCAUAAGAAAGAAAAAGAAACACUAAAUAUGUUGUUCAUCCAUAUUUUCUUGUGAACUUGCCUAUAUAAAAUUUCUAAAGUUUGAAGCAUUUAAGAGAGAGACUGUGUGUGUGUGUGUGUGAGUGGGUGUACACACGCGUGCGCGGAGUCACAAUUUGCUUUGGAUCUUGAAGUCCUACUUUGUGCCAGAUAGUACACUAGGAAUUGGGAAAUUCACUGAAAGGAAAACAAAGUUGUUACCUCAGCAAGUUUAUCUUUUUAUUAGGAGUAGCAAUAUUGUGUUACUCUAGACAGAUUUUAAAAUGUAGUGGGGAUGUUGAUAAAGGUAUUACUAUAGUAUAAUUGGGAAGGUGACUUCAAAGAAUUUUCCUAGGUUAAAAAAGAUUGAGUAGAAUGAAAUUGGAAGAAACUAGAACAUAAAAUACAGGGAUUUUUCAGCAAUAGGAAGAAGAAAAGCUUUUUAUGAACAAGAGAAAAUAUUCUGAAAAAUAAGAAGACAAGGAAAUAGUAAUGUUACAAAGAAUCAAAGAGUAUCCAGGACUGGGGAUAUAGUUCUGUUGGUAGAGUGCUUGCCUUGCAUGUACAAGGCCCCGCAGCACACAAAAUGAAUGAAUGAAUGAAUGAAUGAAUGAAUAAAUAAAUAAAUAAAUGAGUCAAAGUCUUAAGAAAAAAAAAACAAAAUACAAAGAGUAUCCAAUGGGAAAGGAAAAGUCAGUAAGAUAAGUAAGGUUUUCAUUGGAUUUCCAAAUUGAGGAUUAUUAUUAUUAUUUUUUUUUUUUUUGAAAGCAGAUUCCAUGUAUUUGUAGGUGGGAGCAGAUUGUACUAGAUUGAAGGUAAAGAAGAAAAAGUGUGUGAUUUACUUUUGGAAAGUCGGCUGUCAAUCCUGUUCACUUGAGAGACAUGUUCAUCUCCAGCUAUUAUUAUCAUUCUCUUUUUGUUGCUUCCCUUUCUUUACUAACAACAGCUUAGCUCCCUAAAAUCUGUCUUUCUUUUUCCACUUUUUUUCUUAAAAAGUAUAUUCUAUGCCCAUGGAACCAUCCAUCAUCCAGUGGCUCCGGUUCUUUUUUUUUUUUUAAAGAUAGAGAGAAUUUUUUUAAUAUUUAUUUUUUAGUUUUCGUUGGACACAACAUCUUUAUUUGUAUGUGGUGCUGAGGAUCGAACCCAGGCCGCAUGCAUGCCAGGCAAGCGCGCUACCGCUUGAGCCACAUCCCCAGCCCGGACUCCGGUUCUUUAAGCCUCUCUUCUGUUGUCCUAGUUCUUGGGUUGUUUUAAUAGUACCUCCAUUUUCAGGUAUUUUCUGAUUUAUAGCCUACCUUUCUGUGUGAAAAUUUUAAGAACAAAUCAGACUUCAGCCUCCCUUCUCAAACUAAGUAUGUAGAACAGCUUAUUCAUCUUCAUUGUUUUAUUUAUUUUUUCAUUUUCCCUCCCUUCUUUUCUUCCUUCCAUCCAUCCCUCCUUCCUUCCUUCCCUUUUUCCCUCCCUCCCUUUCUUCCAACUUUCCUUCCCUCCCUCCCUCCCUCCUCUCUUCCUUUUUUUUUUUGGUACUAGAGAUAGAACCCAGGGGUGCUUAACCUCUGAGCCACAUCCCCACCCCUUUUAAAAUUUUUUUACUUUGAGACAGGGUCUUGCUAAGUUGCUUAGGGCCUUGCUAGUUGCUGAGGCUGGCCUCAGACUUGCAAUCCUUCUGCUUCAGCUUCCCAAGCCAUUGGGAUUACAGGUAUGUGUCACCAUGCCCAGCAUCUUCAUGGUUUUAAUGGUCACCUCUGUAUAGAUAUUUUAAUCUCUAUUACUGACUCCCUAUUACAUCUCCAGCAAACUUUUAGAUUCUACUUUGUCUUCUGCCAUCAUUGAACACUCUAGAAUUCAAAUAUUACCCCUUCUUGGGGCUGUGGGCUUUGAUCAGCAGUAGAAAGCUUGCCUAGCAUGCACAAGACAGUAGUUUUGAUCUUUAGCAAAACAAAACAAAAAGAAACAAAUAUACCUUCUUGUCUUCAUCUUUGUCCUCAGCCCUCACCUUUCCUAUUUGUUAUCGAUAGACACCAUUCUACUAGUCCUAAUAAAUCAUUUUCCACAUCAUAUAUAACUAGAUAGUCACUAUGUCUUGUCAUUAUUUUACUUUAGAAGAUUCCCUAGAAUGCCGUUUUGUCUUUCCCACUGUUAUUUCCCUUGAUUUGGACUUUUUCAGUUUGUCUUCUUAUGUUCUUUCUACCCACACCAUUUCAGGUUGGAAACCAAUCCUGCAGUUGAGGUUUUCAGUCUCUAUAGUCCUGUAAAUCUUUUUCCUUUUCUCUUCUUCCCCAAUAAUAAGUAUUUUCUGGAGAUGGUAUUGAGGUACAUAGGGAGCCUCAACUACUGGUAAUGUUAUUUCUUAUGUUGCAGGGUUGAUAUGUGGGUAUAUUUUUUAAAAUAAUGAAUUUAAAUGUGUAUUAAAUGUAUGAUUGUUUUAUUAUACUUUUGUGCAUAUUAGAUUUCAUAGAAAACUUGAAAUAGGAAAGUAGAAAGCAGUUUUGUGACACUGAUGGAUGUUUCUCAAUAAUUUUAAACUUAGUAUUGGAAUAAUAAUAUCUACUUCAUGCAAUUGUUUUGAAGUUGAAAUGAAAUAAUGAACAUAAAUUGUUUAGCAUAGUACUGAAUACAAAGUAGUCAGUCAGUACUAGGAAUGUAAAAGUAGUUUUUAAAGAAAUCACCUGCAUUCCCACUGCUAAAAGAGAUUACCUUUGCAUAUAUAAUUUUUAGGCAAUGGUGUAAUUUUCUCAGCCCUUAAAAUGCAAUUAUUUGUAUCAUUAACUCUAGCCCUUUAAAAAAAAUUGUAUUAGUCUAUUGCAUAUGUGGGAACUUGCUGAAUAUUCUUCAGGUGGUAGUUCUCACUCUUGGGGGUGAUUUUGACUCCAGUGGACAUUGGUUAAUGUCUGAAGACAUUUUUGGUUGUCAAAACUGUAGGGCCGCUACUGGCAAAUAGUGGGUAAAGGUCAGGGAGGCAGCUAAACAUCUUAGGAUACACAGGACAGUGCCCACAGCAAAGAAUGAUCCAAAAUAUCAACAGUGCCAAAGUUGAGAAAUCCUAUGUCAGCGUUCCAACAAUGAAAGCACCCAGUUUCUUUAGGAAAUGGCAUAAAAAUUUGGUUUCAAAAAAUGAACAGAACUUGAUAUUGCGAUAAUGGGAAAGAUAUGUCCUUUAAAGAGGGAAAGGAGACAUUGUAUAGUUAAUUGAUUUAUUCAUGUGUUUAUUUCCUGAUUCCCAGAUUGGAGAAAACUUUAAGAAUAUACUUUAUUUCCUAGUGUGGAUGGGACUUUGCAUUCAAUGCUUGUUGAAAUAGAAAAUGAAAAAUAAUGUUUUUUAAGUCUUUUUGCCUUUUCUUCUUUUAGAUACCCAUUUGAUGUAACUCGUCGGAGAAUGCAACUAGGAACUGUUCUGCCAGAAUUUGAAAAGUGCCUGUAAGUUCUCCAUACAUCAUUGUAUCUUUAGAAAAUGUAAUGUUUAAAAGUCAGUAGGAAGAUAGGACUCUGUUCUCACCUAUAGUCCCUGUCUUUCAUUUUGUGUCCGAUAGUAUACUGUGGUAACUUUGUAGAAACAUAUAGAGAGUUACAUGUAUAAUUUUAAAAAUUCUGGGAGCUACAUUUUUAAAAAAUAUAAAAACAAACAUAAUUCUUUUAUAAUAUUUUUUUUGUUUCAUCUAAUAAGUCUGAAAUGUUAUCAUUUAAACAUUUCAACGUUUUUGUAAUAUUUUGCAAUAUUUCUGCUAAGUAUUUGAAAUCCAGUGUGUAUUUUAUACUUACUGCACAUCUCAAUUUAAGUGCUCAGUAGCACAUGUGGAUAGUGGUUAUCAUUACUAUACAGAAUAGUUCUGCAGCUUUCCAUAAUCUGUAGAAAUUUAGCAUCAUUCUGAUUUGUGCUACCUUUCUGUCAUUAUAACACAUACCUGAGAUAAUCAACUUAUAAAUAGGGGAGGUUUAUUUUGGCUCAUGAUUGAUCAGCCCUGUUUUCUUUGUGUCUGUGACGAGACAGCACACCAUGGUAGGCAUUCAUGGCAGAGCAAAACCACUCACUUCAUGGCUGGGAAGUGAAAAAAGAGAAGCAAAUAAGGGGUUGGGGACUCACAGUACCUUUUUAGCCCAUAAUGAUCUAAAAAGACUUUUAACUAGGCCUCUCCUCUUAAAGGUCUCAUCAUCUCCCUAUAGCACCUCCUUGGGGAUCAAGUCUUUGAUUCAUAGACCUUUAGGGGAAAUAUUGCAAAAUCUUGAAAUGUUGAAAUGAUAACAUUUCAGAAUUAUUAGAUGAAACAAAAAUAUUAUAAAAGAAUUAUCUGUUUGUUUUUAUAUUUUUUUAAAAUGUAGCGCCCCAGGGCUGGGGUUAUAGCUUAGUGGUACAGAUCUUGCCUCAUAUGUGUGAGACUCUGGGUUCGAUCCUCAGCACCACAUAAAAAUAAACAAAUAAAAAUAAAGAUAUUAAAAAAAAAAUGCAGGGCUGGGGAUGUGGCUCAAGUGGUAGUGCGCUCGCCUAGCAUGCGUGAGGCACUGGGUUCGAUUCUCAGCGCCAUAUUAAAAAAAUAAAAAAUAAAGAUAUUGUGUCCACCUAAAAACUAAAAAAAAAAUAUUUAAAAAAAUGCAGAUCUCAGAAUUUUAAAAAUCAUACAUGUAGCUCUCUAUGUUUUUAUUUAAUAGAGCUUCUCUAAAAUGAAUUUUAUAAGAGAAAUGGGACGUAACUGAAACCUUACAGAAACCGGACCCAUAUACCAGUUUGGCAAUAUGUUGUCCCUCAAAAGAAAAGCAAAAUAUUUGUUCAGACCUUGGAUUGCCUUGUUCAUGCAAAAGGUUUUUUUGAAGAUUUCAAAAUUGCUUAUUGAAGGGAAAAGGAAAUGGCUAUAUAUUGGUUUGAAAGGAAAGAAACAACUCUGAGCCAGGUGUGAUGGUGCAUGCCUCUAAUCCCAGCAUAUCAGUCCAGCCUUGGCAAUUUAGGAAUUUCCCAAGUACUUUAGCCAGACCCUGUCUCAAUAUAAAAAAAUUAAAAGGGCUGGGGAUGUAGCCCAGUGAUAAAGAGCCCUGGGUUUGUCAAUCCCCAGUACUCCCCCCUAAAAAAGAAAGAAAGAACUGUUUGAAACAAGAAAGACUUUAUUGCUGAAAUCUGAAAGAGAGUCUUUCAAACUUUAGUUCUAAGCUCACCAGCUAGUUACAGUAUUUUAAAAGUUGAGUUAUGCUGGAUAGGGUCGCACAUUCUUGUAAGCCCGGCUGUUUGUUUGAGAGGCUAAGGCAAGAGGAUCAUACAUGUAGGGCCAGCCUGGGCAAGUUAGUGAGACCCUGUUUCAAAAAAAAAAACAAAAAGGGUGUGGAGGAGGUAGGGGGAGCUGGAGGAGUAAGUAGCUAAGUAGUAGAAUACUAGCGUGUGCAAGAUCUUGGGGUUGAUCCUAGCAUUGGAAAAAGAAAUAAACAAAUACAGGGAUUGCCUCAAUAGUUGUGAAAUAGUGUUGUUAGUUAACAUCAUAGAUGUAGCACAAAUGAAAUACAUUGUUUUAAUGAGCCUUCAAAUUAUGUACAAAGCUUAUAUUACACUUGAUUGAAAUGACUUGCUGUUUCAUUGUGAACUUUUAGCUUAUUAUAACACUUACUUUUCAAAAGUUAUUUAACAUGCCAUUUUAGCUUCUUUUUAAAAUGCUAUUAUGGAUCCUGAAAUUGUGUCUUUAUGAAUGGGCAGAGAGGUGUCAUCAUUUAACCAUUGUCUUUCAGUACCAUGCGGGAGACUAUGAAGUAUGUCUAUGGACACCAUGGAAUUCGAAAAGGAUUAUAUCGUGGUUUAUCUCUUAAUUAUAUUCGGUGUAUUCCCUCUCAAGCAGUGGCUUUUACAACAUAUGAACUUAUGAAGCAGUUUUUUCACCUCAACUAAAAAAAAUUGCGGUUUGUGGUUUAUUUUCCUUAAUAAACUCUCAGAGAAAAAUGUUACUUUAAUUGUGAAGCAAACAUUACUUGAAGGGGGAUAUUUACCCUGUCACAGGAACCACUGACAUUACUACUUGAUUUUUUUUUUUUUUAAUUCACAAAUCAAAAUUGCUUUUGAUGCCAAUAUCCUUUCUGAUGCCAAACAUUAUACCUUUGAACAUUGAAAAAAUAUUACUAAGCUAAUGAUGCUAAUCAUAACAGGUUAUUUGAAACCAUUUUAAAGUGUUAUUUGGGAGCAAAACUAACUUAAAAUGGAGCUUAAGAGGUUGCCAUUAGCUUUAUCUUACUAUUCCAAACUACUUCUUCUUUUUAUUUUUGCAGUGCUGGGGUCGAAUCCAGCACCUCACACAUGCCAGGCAAUUGCUCCAUCCCUGAGCUAAAUUCCCAGCAUCCUGUUCAAAGAUUUUAAUUGUAAUCAUGAUUUUUUUUUUUUUUUUUUU
rnacentral:lncRNA from 1 species